AUGUGCCCGGGUCUGUGGUUGCAAGGCCAUGCCAGCUACGGGCGAAAGGUCCCACGUAAACCGCAGAAGAAGAGUAUGCGGCGAUCAUGGCGUAGUUUAGAAGUAAGUCCUCGGAGAAACUCCGGUCAAGGCAAGUGUGGGGGCAAAGAUCAGGUCAGCCGGGUCAU
rnacentral:ncRNA from 1 species